rnacentral:rRNA from 1 species
GAUGAACGCUGGCGGCGUGCCUAAUACAUGCAAGUCGAGCGAAUGGAUUAAGAGCUUGCUCUUAUGAAGUUAGCGGCGGACGGGUGAGUAACACGUGGGUAACCUGCCCAUAAGACUGGGAUAACUCCGGGAAACCGGGGCUAAUACCGGAUAACAUUUUGAACCGCAUGGUUCGAAAUUGAAAGGCGGCUUCGGCUGUCACUUAUGGAUGGACCCGCGUCGCAUUAGCUAGUUGGUGAGGUAACGGCUCACCAAGGCAACGAUGCGUAGCCGACCUGAGAGGGUGAUCGGCCGCACUGGGACUGAGACACGGCCCAGACUCCUACGGGAGGCAGCAGUAGGGAAUCUUCCGCAAUGGACGAAAGUCUGACGGAGCAACGCCGCGUGAGUGAUGAAGGCUUUCGGGUCGUAAAGCUCUGUUGUUAGGGAAGAACAAGUGCUAGUUGAAUAAGCUGACACCUUGACGGUACCUAACCAGAAAGCCACGGCUAACUACGUGCCAGCAGCCGCAGUAA